AUAAGGUUAAGUGAAUAAGGGCGCACGGUGGAUGCCUUGGCACUAGGAGCCGAUGAAGGACGGGACUAACACCGAUAUGCUUUGGGGAGCUGUACGUAAGCUAUGAUCCAGAGAUUUCCGAAUGGGGAAACCCAACAUCUUUUAUAGGAUGUUACGUUUGCGUGAAUACAUAGCGCAUUCGAGGUAGACGCAGAGAACUGAAACAUCUAAGUACCUGCAGGAAGAGAAAGAAAAUUCGAUUCCCUGAGUAGCGGCGAGCGAAACGGGAAAAGCCCAAACCAAUGAGCUUGCUCAUUGGGGUUGUAGGACUCCAAUAUGGUAGUUCUUUCAGAUAAUCGAAUGACUUGGAAAAGUCAGUCAAAGAGGGUAAAAACCCCGUAGAUGAAAUUUGGAAGGCACCUAGGAGGAUCCUGAGUACGGCGGAACACGAGGAAUUCCGUCGGAAUCCGGGAGGACCAUCUCCCAAGGCUAAAUACUCCCUAGUGACCGAUAGUGAACCAGUACCGUGAGGGAAAGGUGAAAAGCACCCCGGAAGGGGAGUGAAAUAGAACCUGAAACCGUGUGCCUACAACAAGUCAAAGCCCGUUAAUGGGUGAUGGCGUGCCUUUUGUAGAAUGAACCGGCGAGUUACGAUUGCAUGCGAGGUUAAGUCGAAGAGACGGAGCCGCAGCGAAAGCGAGUCUGAAUAGGGCGUUUGAGUAUGUAGUCGUAGACCCGAAACCAUGUGAUCUACCCAUGUCCAGGUUGAAGGUGCGGUAAAACGCACUGGAGGACCGAACCCACGUACGUUGAAAAGUGCGGGGAUGAGGUGUGGGUAGCGGAGAAAUUCCAAACGAACUUGGAGAUAGCUGGUUCUCUCCGAAAUAGCUUUAGGGCUAGCCUCGGAUUUGAGAAUGAUGGAGGUAGAGCACUGUUUGGACUAGGGGCCCAUCUCGGGUUACCGAAUUCAGAUAAACUCCGAAUGCCAUUCAUUCAUAUCCGGGAGUCAGACUGUGAGUGAUAAGAUCCAUAGUCGAAAGGGAAACAGCCCAGACCACCAGCUAAGGUCCCAAAAUAUAUGUUAAGUGGAAAAGGAUGUGGGGUUGCACAGACAACUAGGAUGUUGGCUCAGAAGCAGCCACCAUUUAAAGAGUGCGUAAUAGCUCACUAGUCGAGUGACCCUGCGCCGAAAAUGUACCGGGGCUAAACAUAUUACCGAAGCUGUGGAGUACACCAUGAGGUGUAUUGGUAGGAGAGCGUUCUAAGGGCGUUGAAGGCAGAUCGUGAGGACUGCUGGAGCGCUUAGAAGUGAGAAUGCCGGUAUGAGUAGCGAAAGACAGGUGAGAAUCCUGUCCACCGAAUGACUAAGGUUUCCUGGGGAAGGCUCGUCCGCCCAGGGUUAGUCGGGACCUAAGCCGAGGCCGACAGGCGUAGGCGAUGGACAACAGGUUGAUAUUCCUGUACUCGUUGUUUUUGUUUGAGCAAUGGAGGGACGCAGGAGGCUAAGGAAUGCAGACGAUUGGAAAUGUCUGUCCAAGCAGUAAGUCUUGAUAGGAGUCAAAUGCUUCUGUCUACACGGAUAAGCUGUGAUGGGGAGGGAAAUAAUAGUACCGAAGUUCCUGAUGUCACACUGCCAAGAAAAGCUUCUAGUGAGAAAACAAUGACCCGUACCGCAAACCGACACAGGUAGUCGAGGAGAGAAUCCUAAGGUGAGCGAGAGAACUCUCGUUAAGGAACUCGGCAAAAUGACCCCGUAACUUCGGGAGAAGGGGUGCUGAUCUUCGAUCAGCCGCAGUGAAUAGGCCCAAGCGACUGUUUAUCAAAAACACAGGUCUCUGCAAAAUCGUAAGAUGAAGUAUAGGGGCUGACGCCUGCCCGGUGCUGGAAGGUUAAGAGGAGUGCUUAGCGUAAGCGAAGGUACGAAUUGAAGCCCCAGUAAACGGCGGCCGUAACUAUAACGGUCCUAAGGUAGCGAAAUUCCUUGUCGGGUAAGUUCCGACCCGCACGAAAGGCGUAACGAUUUGGGCACUGUCUCAACGAGAGACUCGGUGAAAUUUUAGUACCUGUGAAGAUGCAGGUUACCCGCGACAGGACGGAAAGACCCCAUGGAGCUUUACUGUAGUUUGAUAUUGAGUGUCUGUACCGCAUGUACAGGAUAGGUAGGAGCCGUAGAAAUCGGAACGCUAGUUUCGAUGGAGGCGCUGGUGGGAUACUACCCCUGCGUUAUGGCCACUCUAACCCGCACCACUGAUCGUGGUGGGAGACAGUGUCAGAUGGGCAGUUUGACUGGGGCGGUCGCCUCCUAAAAGGUAACGGAGGCGCCCAAAGGUUCCCUCAGAAUGGUUGGAAAUCAUUCGAAGAGUGUAAAGGCAGAAGGGAGCUUGACUGCGAGACCAACAAGUCGAGCAGGGACGAAAGUCGGGCUUAGUGAUCCGGUGGUUCCGCAUGGAAGGGCCAUCGCUCAACGGAUAAAAGCUACCCUGGGGAUAACAGGCUUAUCUCCCCCAAGAGUCCACAUCGACGGGGAGGUUUGGCACCUCGAUGUCGGCUCGUCGCAUCCUGGGGCUGUAGUCGGUCCCAAGGGUUGGGCUGUUCGCCCAUUAAAGCGGCACGCGAGCUGGGUUCAGAACGUCGUGAGACAGUUCGGUCCCUAUCCGUCGCGGGCGUUGGAAAUUUGAGAGGAGCUGUCCUUAGUACGAGAGGACCGGGAUGGACUUACCGCUGGUGUACCAGUUGUUCUGCCAAGGGCAUUGCUGGGUAGCUAUGUAGGGAAGGGAUAAACGCUGAAAGCAUCUAAGUGUGAAGCCCACCUCAAGAUGAGAUUUCCCAUUUCUUUAAGAAAGUAAGAUCCCUGAGAGAUGAUCAGGUAGAUAGGUCAGGAGUGGAAGGCCAGUGAUGGUUGGAGCGGACUGAUACUAAUCGAUCGAGGACUUAACCAAA
rnacentral:rRNA from 1 species